rnacentral:lncRNA from 1 species
AUGGUUCUAGGGGCUGGAUGUGCAUGGGGCACGGUGCUAGGGGUUAUUUAUGCACGGGGCAUGGUGCUGGGCUGCCUGUCCUUGGUCCCUGUGCUGUAUUCACACCCAAUUCCCGACGCAUCGGCCCCAUGGGAACCCCGGCAGCCCGGUUUGUGGGCAGCGAGGCCAUCCUCCUGGCAGCCUGGCUCUGGCAGCCGGCGACCUGGGCCAGAGCUCCCCGCGGCGGUGCCAAAAUCCCCUUCGGCGGCUGCCAAAAUCGAUUCGGCACAAAGAGCUCGUAAAUUACAAAACCGCUCCGAGGCUCAGGGGCGCUGCGCUCCCGUCCCGGUGCGGCACCGUUACGGGGAGCCGGGGAACCCCCCGAGCCCCGAGGUGGCUCUGCAGAGGGGUGUGAGGAUAACGGGGCCGUGCCCUCCUACAGCACCAGGCGCCACGCAGGGGCCUCUCCGCAUCCUCUCCGCACAGCUGCGAGGUGCCACGGGGUGGCCGGAGCCCCUCGGGGACGUCCCCAACGUCCCCGGGGCUGCUUCUCGGGGCUGGCGACGGCGGCGGGGCUCUCCUUUCAGAGCCGCUCCCCAGCCGGCGGGGGAGAGCCCUUUGUGCCAGGCAGCCUUGAGAGAGGCCCGGGACAUAAUGACUGCUUUGCUCGGCCCCGCUUUUCCCAGCCUGAGCGCGGGGAACCUCCGCCGUGAGCUGAAUGGCAACGAGAAGCCCUCCUGCUCCGGCCCUCCCCCUCCGCCCUGCGCUUUUGUGCGCCCUCGACAUCCCCCCCCGGCAGCUCCCCGGCCAAAGCCCGCUCCCACACGUGCACAAGCGCACGUGCAAACACGCGUGUGCACCCAUGGGCAGGCACGCACACGUGCAGCGGGACACGCAGACGUGUGGGCACGCCGAAAAUCCCCCCUGGCACACGUGUGCACGCGCACUCGCUGCCCACGCCGGGGCUCAGCGACUCGUUCCUUCAUCCCUGCUCGACACCAGUUCUUAAAACCCUGCCUGAGGUUUCUAACAGCGGUGCCUCCGGCUCUGGCAUCGCCUCCUGCCCGGCUGCGCUCAGAUUUUCCGUGCCACCAAGGCCAGGCUGGGCUCUGCCGUCCCCAGAGGACCCGGGGGUCUGCGGGCCGAGGGCACAGGAUGGCCUCAGCCCUCCCGCUGCUGCUGCUGCUGCUCUGCGCCUUUACCCCCGCGGUGGUCCCGGAGGUGCUUGGCCCCGGAGAUGGCACAGAUGACCUCAAGGCGCUGCAGGUCUCCAUCCCGCGGCACCCUGCCCUGGACGCCGUGCUGGCGGGGGACGUCACCAUCCCCUGCCUCAUCACCUACCUCGGGCCCCUGCCCACC